rnacentral:rRNA from 1 species
AGAGUUUGAUCCUGGCUCAGAAUGAACGUUGGCGGCGUGGAUUAGGCAUGCAAGUCGAGCGAGAACCCCGCAAGGGGGGACAGCGGCAAACGGGGUAGUAAUGUGUCGGAACGUGCCCUGAGGUCGGGGAUAGCGGCGGGAAACUGC